UGGUAAAAUAUCAAUUAACUUUAAUGAAGCUGAUCAACAGAAAAUGAAACCCUUUUUAAUAAAGAUAAAAUGUCUAUGAAACCGUAAUUAAGAAACGUGAUGCAAAGGUUGAUUCUAUAAUCAAAAGUCAUAAAAAUUACAAGUCAAUUUUGUAAUUACAUUUUUAAAAAUGUUAUUAGGCAAUAUUUGACACACAUCAAUAUCAUAUAUAAAAAUAUAAUCACAUAUUUAAAUUAUAAAGCUUAAUAGCAAAAUAAACAUCCCUCCCCAAACUCAACACCCCAGUUAACAUCUAGUGCAUUUCCAACACCCCUUCUGCUAUCUGUGUCUUCCUAUCCCAUCCUCUGCACACUACCAAGCAAGGAGCCACUGUCAGGAAUUUUAUAUUCAUCAUUCCAUGGCCAUUCUUUUAUUAUCUUUGCCACAUAAAACAUGCAACUCUAGGCAACAUGCACUUUUAACUUUCUGAGUUCUCUAAAAUGGUAUUACAGUGUCCACUGUCAUCUUUGACUUGCUUUUUCCACUCACAAUUAUUUCUAAUUUUCAUCCAAAUUGGUAUCGGUAGAUGUUGUUCAUUUUCACUGCCUAUAAAACUCAUUCUCCCGAAAAUGGGCAUUUUAAUUGCUUCCAACUUUUUAUUAUCGAUAGCACUAUUAUGAAUAUUGUUUUGGGGGUGGGGAAUGGGUGCAGAUUAAAAAUAGAAUUACUGGAGUAUUCAUCUUGUGGACAUUUAAUCUCACGAGAUUGUGCCAAAUUGAUUUUCAACGUAUUCCAACUGUGUAUAAGAGUUGCCAUUGAGUUACAUCCUUGCUGUUAAUCAACAUUUUACCAAAACAUAUUUAAAUACAGGAUACACAUUAAAUACAUUAGACCCUGGCCAUGGUAGGGAACAGAAUAAAAGUAGGGAUUUGAGUUAAAAAAAAGUAAAAUUAAAGAAAAAGAGAGGACAUUUGCACCUGGAAAUAAUAAAAAUAUAAUAUAAAUUAUCUAUUAUACAGAUGUUACAUAUAUGAAAUAUUAAAAUAUGCCAUGAGGGGCUGGCCCCGUGGCCGAGUGGUUAAGUUCGCGCGCUCCGCUGCAGGCGGCCCAGAGUUUCGUUGGUUCGAAUCCUGGGCGCGGACAUGGCACUGCUCAUCAAACCACGCUGAGGCAGCGUCCCACAUGCCACAACUAGAAGGACCCACAACGAAGAAUAUACAGCUAUGUACCGGGGGGCUUU
ensembl:lncRNA